ACGUCGGGGCUUGGAAGCGGACGGUUCAGGCUAGGAACAAUGGCUUUCGGUGUAAGGGAGCUCUUAUGUGGAGAGGCUAAGAUACGAAGGAAGGUUCCAAAACAUAUGGGAGAAUGUUUGUUGGAAAAUGACUUGGUUAAAACCUGACAAUCUUACCAGCGUCCUGCAGGUUGAUGAAUACUAAUGAAGCUAUGGAUGUCACUGAUUGAUGAACAGCUUCAUGUUAAAUGAGGGGUCGCUGUCUGCCUAUUGAAAGAGGCCAGUUUGCUGUGAAGUUCAAGUGUAAAUAUUUCUGGCUAGUGCCACGAGAUUUACUUGUCUGUUGUAUGAAAAACUGGUGAUCAGGAAAAGCUCUUCAUUUUAUGGACACGGGAAGAAAACAAAACUCAAGACGGAUAUUUUUCAAUUUUGAAAUUAGAUUUGUAUAGACUUCUGAACGAACAUUGAAACUAGAUCAGUUCAUCCAUAAGAUUCAAGCUGUUUCUGUUUAAUCAGGUCACUGUCCUAGAGUCAUAAGCUGUUAACUGGUAUAUUACUUUGUAGCUGUGAAACUAUUUAAUGGAAGAUUCUUUUUCAGUUAUCCAGCCUUGUGAUUAAAUAAUUUUGAAUGAA